UACGAAGGGGGCUAGCGUUGCUCGGAAUUACUGGGCGUAAAGCGCACGUAGGCGGCUUUCUAAGUCGGAGGUGAAAUCCUGGAGCUCAACUCCAGAACUGCCUUCGAUACUGGAGAGCUUGAGUCCGGGAGAGGUGAGUGGAACUGCGAGUGUAGAGGUGAAAUCCGUAGAUAUUCGCAAGAACACCAGUGGCGAAGGCGGCUCACUGGCCCGGUACUGACGCUGAGGUGCGAAAGCGUGGGGAGCAAACAGG
rnacentral:rRNA from 1 species